GUGCCAGCAGCCGCGGUAAUACCAGCUCCCCGACUGGUCGGGACGAUUAUUGGGUCUAAAGCGUCCGUAGCCGGCCCUGUAUGUGAUCCGUUAAAUCCAGCGGCUCAACCGCUGGGCUGCGGAUCAUACUAUGGGGCUAGGGGACGGGAGAGGCCGGAGGUACUCCGCGGGUAGGGGUAAAAUCCGCUGAUCCGCGGAAGACCAACAGUGGCGAAGGCGUCCGGCCAGAACGCGCCCGACGGUGAGGGACGAAAGCCAGGGGAGCGAACCGGAUUAGAUACCCGGGUAGUCCUGGCCGUAAACGAUGCCCGCUAGGUCUUGGUGAAGCUUAGGGUUUCAUCAGGGCCGCAGGGAAGCCGUUAAGCGGGCCACCUGGGGAGUACGGCCGCAAGGCUGAAACUUAAAGGAAUUGGCGGGGGAGCACCACAAGGGGUGAAGCCUGCGGUUUAAUUGGAGUCAACGCCGGAAACCUUACCCGGGGCGACAGCAGGAUGAUGGCCAGGCUAAAGACCUUACCUGACAAGCCGAGAGGAGGUGCAUGGCCGUCGUCAGCUCGUGCCGUGAGGUGUCCGGUUAAGUCCGGCAACGAGCGAGACCC
rnacentral:rRNA from 1 species